rnacentral:rRNA from 1 species
UUGGAGGGCAAGUCUGGUGCCAGCAGCCGCGGUAAUUCCAGCUCCAAUAGCGUAUAUUAAAGUUGUUGUGGUUAAAAAGCUCGUAGUUGAACCUUGGGCCUGGCUGGCCGGUCCGCCUCACCGCGUGUACUGGUCCGGCCGGGCCUUUCCCUCUGUGGAACCCCAUGCCCUUCACUGGGUGUGGCGGGGAAACAGGACUUUACUGUGAAAAAACUUAGAGUGCUCCAGGCAGGCCUAUGCUCGAAUACAUUAGCAUGGAAUAAUAGAAUAGGA